CCUCCCAAGAGGAGGGCAGGUUCUAAUUAAGCUAACAGACAGCAGGGUGAAAACAUUGUCCACUGAAAUCAGAAUAACACAGUGUUUUCAAGAAUGGAAGGCUCUGCUUUUUUCCUGAAGCAGUGACGUGCCAGGCAGCUCCGCUGGCAGGCAAGACAAUCUGGCUCCAUCAGAGAGACUGUGAGAUGAAGGUUCAAACAGAGGAGGCAGUGAGCUAUCCAGAGAAGUACAAACCAAAGCCUCUGUCUUCAGAAAGUUCUGGAUUUGAAAGUGUCCAUGUAUUCAGGAUAAAAAUGAGCCACUGCUGACAACUGUGAAGAAAGAAAAAACAGCUGUUUGCAUCUGGAUGUGGAGUAUGAAAGAACAGCUGCUGGCAGCUGUGGCAGACAAGAAAGUGAGCAAAUGAAUAGCUGCUGGCGAUUCAGUCUAGUAGGCCGCCCAGAAUCACUGAACUCCAGAAGAAGCACACACAGCUCAACGUAACUGCUUUAUUGUAUCCUGCUCUUUAUUAAAUCUUGCUUAUUUUUCAUUAGAGACAUUCCCUACUGAGGGACCUCAGCAGGAAAAACUAUCACCAUUUCCCCAUCCAUAACCCUUUGGUUUGGUUUGCAACCUAAUAGCAGUAAAAUGGCACAGACGUUUUCUUCCUUUAAGGCGUACCUAUUUUUACAAGAUGGAAGAAGACUAUUGUUGGCAAAGGAAGGCAUACCAAUCAACAGUGGAACUAUCACAAGAUUGGGCAAAAGUGAUUCUGUUUUACAGAAUAUUAUGGUCUUUUUAAUAAUGACACAUUUUAGCAUUUCAGUAGGCCAGAAUGUGACAAUGUAAGCAUAACUUAAACUUGGAAAAAUGCAUUUUAAAACCCUGUCAA